AUUGUAUUCCCUCCGUUCGAAAAUACUUGUCAUCAAAAUGGACAAAAAGGGAUGUAUCUAAAAUGGACAAAAAGGGAUGUAUCUAGAAUUAAAAUACAUCUAGAUACAUCCCCUUUUAUUCAUUUUGAUGACAAGUAUUUCUGGACGGAGGGAGUACUAA
rfam:Triticum aestivum genome assembly, contig: Triticum_aestivum_CS42_TGACv1_scaffold_641168_T_7BL-0.189899_4DL-0.123469